rnacentral:rRNA from 1 species
AGUCGAACGGAGCUGUUUUCUCUGAAGUUUUCGGAUGGAAGAGAGUUCAGCUUAGUGGCGGACGGGUGAGUAACACGUGAGCAACCUGCCUUUCAGUGGGGGACAACAUUUGGAAACGAAUGCUAAUACCGCAUAAGACCACAGUGUCGCAUGGCACAGGGGUCAAAGGAUUUAUCCGCUGAAAGAUGGGCUCGCGUCCGAUUAGCUAGAUGGUGAGGUAACGGCCCACCAUGGCGACGAUCGGUAGCCGGACUGAGAGGUUGAACGGCCACAUUGGGACUGAGACACGGCCCAGACUCCUACGGGAGGCAGCAGUGGGGAAUAUUGCACAAUGGGGGAAACCCUGAUGCAGCGACGCCGCGUGGAGGAAGAAGGUCUUCGGAUUGUAAACUCCUGUCCCAGGGGACGAUAAUGACGGUACCCUGGGAGGAAGCACCGGCUAACUACGUGCCAGCAGCCGCGGUAAAACGUAGGGUGCAAGCGUUGUCCGGAAUUACUGGGUGUAAAGGGAGCGCAGGCGGAUUGGCAAGUUGGGAGUGAAAUCUAUGGGCUCAACCCAUAAAUUGCUUUCAAAACUGUCAGUCUUGAGUGGUGUAGAGGUAGGCGGAAUUCCCGGUGUAGCGGUGGAAUGCGUAGAUAUCGGGAGGAACACCAGUGGCGAAGGCGGCCUACUGGGCACUAACUGACGCUGAGGCUCGAAAGCAUGGGUAGCAAACAGGAUUAGAUACCCUGGUAGUCCAUGCCGUAAACGAUGAUUACUAGGUGUGGGAGGAUUGACCCCUUCCGUGCCGCAGUUAACACAAUAAGUAAUCCACCUGGGGAGUACGACCGCAAGGUUGAAACUCAAAGG